rnacentral:lncRNA from 1 species
AAAAGGUCCCUUUUUAAAUUCAUUUUUGUAUUCCUUGAUCCUGUGUGAUUCCUGUUAUGAUUUGCCUCAUUGAUACUAAAGAAAUUUAAAUUUACUGACGUUUGUUUCACUCUAAUUUAGAUGGGAAAAACAGUCUAUUUCAACGAGAAUAGAGAUAUUAUGGAGUUUGAAGCAAUAAUUGGAGGCAUCAGCAUUGGUAACUUGAGAAACUCUCUGGAACAGCUUGGGUUAUACAUAAAGGAUGAUUGCAUGGAAAAUGAUGAAGUGGAGGCAAUUCUGCAAGGAGAAGAGGGGGAAAUUCUUUCGUAAUCCUAGCUGCAUAUAUGUGUAGUUUUGAGGUGUUAAUUGUAAAUUAGUAUUCAUUUUGUGGGCUGUUAGGGAACGAAAGGCAAGAUCUCUAAUUAGUCAAUCAAACAUUGUAAGUACAACUAGUGCAUAUUUUUUGUAGAUGCAGUCCAACAAAGAUUCAGUACAACUUGUGAAUAAUUUUUUGUGUAUUUAGAAUUUGUCUUGUAAAUCCGUAUGUCCAGCGUGGUGCUGCCAUUGGAUUGAAAAAGCAAUGUUAUGCCCGUAGGAUGGUAGCAAUUUACUUUUUAUUAUUUUUUAUUUUUUUUACAAUUUUUUUACAAUUUAUUUAUUUAUUUAUUUAUUAUUUUUUUUUUCCGGAUCAAAUUGCUCGUUUGAGCUUA